rnacentral:rRNA from 1 species
AGAGUUUGAUCCUGGCUCAGGAUGAACGCUAGCGGCAGGCUUAACACAUGCAAGUCGAGGGGCAGCGGGGAGGAAGCUUGCUUUCUCCGCCGGCGACCGGCGCACGGGUGAGUAACACGUAUGCAACCUGCCCCUGUCAGGGGGACAACCCGCCGAAAGGCGGGCUAAACCCGCGUACAUGCCACCGGGGCAUCCCGGAGGCAGGAAAGGCUUCGGCCGGACAGGGAUGGGCAUGCGGCGCAUUAGGCAGUAGGCGGGGUAACGGCCCACCUAACCGACGAUGCGUAGGGGUUCUGAGAGGAAGGUCCCCCACACUGGUACUGAGACACGGACCAGACUCCUACGGGAGGCAGCAGUGGGGAAUAUUGCACAAUGGGGGAAACCCUGAUGCAGCGACGCCGCGUGAGCGAAGAAGUAUCUCGGUAUGUAAAGCUCUAUCAGCAGGGAAGAAAAAAGACGGUACCUGACUAAGAAGCCCCGGCUAACUACGUGCCAGCAGCCGCGGCAAUACGUAGGGGGCAAGCGUUAUCCGGAUUUACUGGGUGUAAAGGGAGCGCAGGCGGCGCGGUAAGUCUGAUGUGAAAGCCCGGGGCUCAACCCCGGGACUGCAUUGGAAACUGUCGUGCUGGAGUGUCGGAGGGGCAAGUGGAAUUCCUAGUGUAGCGGUGAAAUGCGUAGAUAUUAGGAGGAACACCAGUGGCGAAGGCGGCUUGCUGGACGACAACUGACGCUGAGGCUCGAAAGCGUGGGGAGCAAACAAGAUUAGAUACCCUGGCAGUCCACGCCGUAAACGAUGAAUACUAGGUGUUGGAGGGCAAAGCCCUUCGGUGCCGCAGCAAACGCAGUAAGUAUUCCACCUGGGGAGUACGUUCGCAAGAAUGAAACUCAAAGGAAUUGACGGGGACCCGCACAAGCGGUGGAGCAUGUGGUUUAAUUCGAAGCAACGCGAAGAACCUUACCAAGCCUUGACAUCCCGGUGACGGAUGGGUAAUGCCAUCUUCCCUUCGGGGCAGCGGAGACAGGUGGUGCAUGGUUGUCGUCAGCUCGUGUCGUGAGAUGUUGGGUUAAGUCCCGCAACGAGCGCAACCCUUAUCCUUAGUAGCCAGCGGGUAAAGCCGGGCACUCUAGGGAGACUGCCAGGGACAACCUGGAGGAAGGCGGGGAUGACGUCAAAUCAUCAUGCCCCUUAUGGCUUGGGCUACACACGUGCUACAAUGGCGUAAACAAAGGGAAGCGAGCCUGUGAAGGUAAGCAAAUCCCAAAAAUAACGUCCCAGUUCGGAUUGUAGUCUGCAACCCGCCUGCAUGAAGCUGGAAUCGCUAGUAAUCGCGAAUCAGAAUGUCGCGGUGAAUACGUUCCCGGGUCUUGCACACACAGCCCGUCA